UACAGAGGUCCCGAGCGUUUGUUCGGAUUUAUUGGGCGUAAAGGGUGCGUAGGCGGCGGAGUAAGUUGGGUGUGAAAUCCCGAGGCUCAACCUCGGAAUUGCAUUCAAUACUGCUUCGCUCGAGUACUGGAGAGGAGGCUGGAAUUUACGGUGUAGCAGUGAAAUGCGUAGAUAUCGUAAGGAAGGCCGGUGGCGAAAAGCGAGCCUCUGGACAGUUACUGACGCUGAUGCACGAAGGCCAAGGGGAGCAAACGGG
rnacentral:rRNA from 1 species